rnacentral:rRNA from 1 species
CAGUCGCCGCGGGAAAACGAAGGGUGCAAGCGUUACUCGGAAUUACUGGGCGUAAAGCGUGCGUAGGCGGCUUCUUAAGUCGGAUGUGAAAUCCCUGAGCUUAACUUAGGAAUUGCAUUCGAUACUGGGAAGCUAGAGUAUGGGAGAGGAUGGUAGAAUUCCAGGUGUAGCGGUGAAAUGCGUAGAGAUCUGGAGGAAUACCGAUGGCGAAGGCAGCCAUCUGGCCUAAUACUGACGCUGAGGUACGAAAGCAUGGGGAGCAAACAGGAUUAGAUACCCGCGUAGUCCCUGUCUCUUAUAC